GAUAAACCCCUAAUUAGUGUUGGCUUGUUUUUUUGGUCGAAAGAGGUUGUGUUGAGAGCGAGGCGAGACACGUAAAAUCAGAUUUCUCGUUUGAUUAAUGAUUUAUAAGAUCAGCUUUCUCUUUUGACCAACGAUUCAGACACAGAUAUAGCUCUACUUCACUUUUCAAUGAAAUUUCCUAGAUGCCCAAUUCGAACCAAAUGUUUGACGCAUGCCAGAAAGGAAGCCAAAGUUAUGUAUCCAAAAUGCACAGGAGAGGAUAUCUACCGGUAUGUGCAGGAUGUUUCGCGCAGGGUUAUUCAGGCAAGACUUGGUGACCAAUUACAGAGAGGACCUAAAUGGAGAUUGUUGCCUGAGGAUCAGUGAGACAAACCGUGUAGUAUCAAAAAACAAUAAACUGCAGAUGAAUAAAAAAGCCAAUUUUAUGACUUUAACUGGCCUCAAAAUCUUUCCCAGUGUAGGAGAACAAAGUGGAGAGACCACUGUUGGCAACCUUGAAGGCAAUUUGAAUGGGUUCUCCUAUUCAACCUCCAGUCCUAAUUUCCAUUUCCAUUUUUUGUACAGGAAUGUAAAGAACGCUUUCUUUCGAUAUGAAGACGAGAAUAUGCUGCCUCUUUUGCACUUCCACUUGCAUCACCCCAUCAAGGUGGGGGCUGAAAAGAGACAGAAUGUCCAAUUCCAUCUGGUGCAGACUCCUGUUGGACAUAAGAGAUAUUAUAAUGAUUCAGAUAAGAUCGUUGGCCCUAAUGGCCCUAACAAAGAUUUAAAGAACUUUGUCCACAAAGUUCAAGCUAUAUGGAGUCAAUCUACCUGUAUUCCAUUAUUGUUAUCCAUUUGCUGGUGUUGAGCUUCAUAAGAAGGAUGAAUUUCAAGGAAAUCUUCCCUCCAAGGUACCAACCAUCUUUGCCUUGAAUUUUUUUUCACUAGUUGGGCUUGUAGAUGAACCUUUCGUUGUGGUCGACCUAUGUGACAUUGAGAUUGUUAAUCUGGCGAGGCUUAAACCUGGGGUAGUAGAUAUGACUAUUGUUCUUCGGGACUUCAAACGUGAUCCAGUUCGAAUCAACUCAAUUCCCUUAGACUCGCUCAAUCUCAUAAAAGAUCGCUUUAACUUCGUGAAGGUGAAGUAUUUUGAGAAUUGUAAGGAUUUAAACUGGGAUUCCAUAGUGAAAGAGAGAGCAGAUUCCCCGGGAAAGUUCUACACGAAUAAGGGAUGGUUUUCUUAUGGCCUUGAGGAUUUAGCUACUGCAAGCUUAUACAAACACUACUAUGCACUACCCGAAGUAAACUACUAUGCACAACGUGGGGAAUUAGAGUAUGAGUGAAUCAGAGGAUGAAGGUGAAGAAGUGACACAUUGGAGAAGCGAGAGGAGCCAUGAAUCAGGUGUAUAAGAGUAGAGCAGGAGAAGUUCAAGUUUACGCAACGAACUAGUAUUUUUAAUCUAAAUCGUUGUUGCUUUUCUCAAUGAUAUAAGCAUAUUUGCAGGGGAGUGUGCCCUUCUUGAAUCUAAUUAUGUCAUUAUUAGAACAACGAUUCUAGAGGAACCGUAUAGGUUUGGAUAUAUUAUUGAAGAUAUGUUUUUGGUCUGCAGUA